CGGCCCGCAGCGCCACACUGGAACGCCUCGCUUAAAGUAACAGGCUCCCGGGUGACAACCCCUCGCAGAAGUGUUCUAGAGUCGCUCUUCUACAAAUGCUCCAGCUCCGAUUGUAGUUUGUCUCAGUGGCCACGGGUAGAAUAUCAAGCCAUACAUAUGAAGCGAAAAAAAAAGAAGAAGGAAAAAAAAAAGAGUUACUAGCUUCCUCUAGAAACACAGACAACCUUUAAAAAGGAAACGGAUAAGAUCUAGACGAUAUACGAAAAUGAAAGAUGGGUGUGACUUUGUUUCGUUAAAGUUCUUGUACCUCUCUGACUCUUACCUCCUUUUUUGAACUGGUUUGGGGUGGUGGCUGUUUUCCAGAGUUUAUCUUUUGUUCACCAUCUUUUUUUCUCCAGAUUGCCAACUUCUUUUCUCCCUGUGUUUUUUGUCUCUCUUCCUCUUUCUGACUCAACUUUAUUGCUUUCUUCUUUUCCUCUCGCCGGGAGACCAUGAAAGCACAACUCGGCCCUUGCAUUGAAGACUUGAGAAUAACGGGAAGGAGGUUUCCUGGAGCGUCCCAGGUUCUCCAUGACCACGCUCAGUUUUUCCCACUGCUCACAAAGUAGAUGAUGGGGAUUAGACAGGAC
rnacentral:lncRNA from 1 species